UAAAAAACUCAGAAGCAAAAGACGUGACCUGAAUCAGCAAGGUUAUCACCUAAAACAAACCAACUAACGAAAUGAUGUUGGCUCAGUCGUGGACACUGAUAACUGUAUUUCUUAUCCAUGGUGUUUCCACUCAACUUGUACCAAUUGCUUACCUACAAUAGUUG